rnacentral:lncRNA from 1 species
ACUGACACUUUUCGGACUCAGCCUGCCUGCACCCAGGUGAUUAAAAGCUUUAUUGCUCACACAAAGCCUGUUUGGUGGUCUCUUCACAUGGAUGCGCAUGAAAUUUGGUGCGGUGACUCGGAUCGGGGGACCUCCCUUGGGAGAUCAAUCCCCUGUCCUCCUGUUCUUUGCUCCGUGAGAAAGAGCCACCUACGACCUCAGGUCCUCAGACCAACCAGGCCAAGAAACAUCUCACCAAUUUCAAAUCCGGGGAGAGGGAAAAUCAUUUGGGGACAGCCAACUUCUUCCUUGAGCGGUGCAGUUAUAAUCAUGCAUUGUGCCCUCUGUGAGUGCUUCUUUCUCCUUUGAAAUUCUUCAGUGGGUUCUUCAGCAUCGCCCACUCUGUUGCUGGAGACCACCCAUUGUGCCCUUGGAUGGCGUGCCCAAUAUCCUUGGCCAGCUGGCUGCAUUCCCCACUCAGCUACUGAUUGUUGAUUGUUGUGCUUCACGAACUUCCCGCUGAGCGUCCUCUCAUCCUGGGGUGGAGAGCAGGCCCAUCACGGGGCUCCCACCUGCCUGCCUGCCAUACUGUCCAUGCCAGUGCCUGAGAAACACCGCCUCUGCUCCACUUUCAGUGGGAACCAGCGUUUUGCACCCCCCUCCAUAGCCUUUUCUCUUCACUCUACCACCUGAAGCAAUUCCCACUGGGCCGCUUCUUCACCUUUAAGUUUUCCAGCAGGAGAAGACAAGGAGAUGGAGAGACUGUCAACCUAGAACCAGUAAUGACCAGUUCCAACUUAAUUACAGAAAGGGAGAAAAGAUCAAUCAUUUAAGUUGCUUCAUCGUCUAAAUAAAAGUGUUUUGGCUGUUGAAACAUGAA